GCGAGCGGCGUCGGACCGAUGAGGCGUCAAACCUCCUGCCGAAACACAACCUUGCCAAGGUUGGGGUCGUGGGUUCGAGCCCCAUCGCCCGCU
rnacentral:tRNA from 1 species